GUCGGGGAGCCUGGUGGGGGAAGAUACCAAGGAAACAUUUCCGCCUCGGCGCUAGAUGCAAGACUGAGUGCACGCGUGGACUGGGCAGUGUAUUAAAGUGCUUUGAGAAUCUCGGAGGAGUCACGCUACAGAGGCACGAAACGCUGUUUCUACUGGAACGCCUCCCCAAAGCUGAGUUGAUUUGAUUCAUUUAACUUGUGCCUCACUCUGAAUAACUUCACAGCCCGGAGGAAGCAAUCAGAGCAGAAUGCAAUGAACCCUGCUCAUUACAAGGGGGAAAGUCCCUAAGAAGGAUUUUUCAGAUCAGAAAACUUCCUGAAACCCAACACAACUCCUCCACACUCACCCACCCCAACAUUCACAGUCAAGCUCUUCCCAGAAGUCGUGCUCACGGUAACCGGUACAGUAACCCCAAGUAGUAAAUGAAUAAUGCAAUAUUGACAGCCGGGGAAAUAAACCCUGUUCUUGACUCUC